rnacentral:rRNA from 1 species
UGAACGCUGGCGGCAUGCCUUACACAUGCAAGUCGAACGGCAGCACGGGUGCUUGCACCUGGUGGCGAGUGGCGAACGGGUGAGUAAUACAUCGGAACAUGUCCUGUAGUGGGGGAUAGCCCGGCGAAAGCCGGAUUAAUACCGCAUACGAUCUACGGAUGAAAGCGGGGGACCUUCGGGCCUCGCGCUAUAGGGUUGGCCGAUGGCUGAUUAGCUAGUUGGUGGGGUAAAGGCCUACCAAGGCGACGAUCAGUAGCUGGUCUGAGAGGACGACCAGCCACACUGGGACUGAGACACGGCCCAGACUCCUACGGGAGGCAGCAGUGGGGAAUUUUGGACAAUGGGCGAAAGCCUGAUCCAGCAAUGCCGCGUGUGUGAAGAAGGCCUUCGGGUUGUAAAGCACUUUUGUCCGGAAAGAAAUCCUUGGCUCUAAUACAGUCGGGGGAUGACGGUACCGGAAGAAUAAGCACCGGCUAACUACGUGCCAGCAGCCGCGGUAAUACGUAGGGUGCGAGCGUUAAUCGGAAUUACUGGGCGUAAAGCGUGCGCAGGCGGUUUGCUAAGACCGAUGUGAAAUCCCCGGGCUCAACCUGGGAACUGCAUUGGUGACUGGCAGGCUAGAGUAUGGCAGAGGGGGGUAGAAUUCCACGUGUAGCAGUGAAAUGCGUAGAGAUGUGGAGGAAUACCGAUGGCGAAGGCAGCCCCCUGGGCCAAUACUGACGCUCAUGCACGAAAGCGUGGGGAGCAAACAGGAUUAGAUACCCUGGUAGUCCACGCCCUAAACGAUGUCAACUAGUUGUUGGGGAUUCAUUUCCUUAGUAACGUAGCUAACGCGUGAAGUUGACCGCCUGGGGAGUACGGUCGCAAGAUUAAAACCCAAAGGAAUUGACGGGGACCCGCACAAGCGGUGGAUGAUGUGGAUUAAUUCGAUGCAACGCGAAAAACCUUACCUACCCUUGACAUGGUCGGAAUCCCGCUGAGAGGUGGGAGUGCUCGAAAGAGAACCGGCGCACAGGUGCUGCAUGGCCGUCGUCAGCUCGUGUCGUGAGAUGUUGGGUUAAGUCCCGCAACGAGCGCAACCCUUGUCCUUAGUUGCUACGCAAGAGCACUCUAAGGAGACUGCCGGUGACAAACCGGAGGAAGGUGGGGAUGACGUCAAGUCCUCAUGGCCCUUAUGGGUAGGGCUUCACACGUCAUACAAUGGUCGGAACAGAGGGUUGCCAACCCGCGAGGGGGAGCUAAUCCCAGAAAACCGAUCGUAGUCCGGAUUGCACUCUGCAACUCGAGUGCAUGAAGCUGGAAUCGCUAGUAAUCGCGGAUCAGCAUGCCGCGGUGAAUACGUUCCCGGGUCUUGUACUCACCGC